GCAGGCUGCAACUCGCCUGCAUGAAGUCGGAAUUGCUGUAAUCGCAGAUCAGCAUGCUGCGGUGAAUACGUUCCCGGGCCUUGUACACACCGCCCGUCACACCAUGGGAGUCGGUAACACCCGAAGUCGGUAGCCUAACCGUAAGGAGGGCGCCGCCGAAGGUGGGAUUGAUGACUGGGGUGAAGUCGUAACAAGGUAAC
rnacentral:rRNA from 1 species